CAGUCGCCACGGUAAUACGAAGGGGGCUAGCGUUGUUCGGAUUUACUGGGCGUAAAGGGCGCGUAGGCGGACUGAUAAGUCAGGGGUGAAAUCCCAAGGCUCAACCUUGGAACUGCCUUUGAUACUGUUUGUCUUGAGUUCGAGAGAGGUAAGUGGAACUGCGAGUGUAGAGGUGAGAUUCGUAGAUAUUCGCAAGAACACCAGUGGCGAAGGCGGCUUACUGGCUCGAUACUGACGCUGAGGCGCGAAAGCGUGGGGAGCAAAUGGGAUUAGAUACCCCUGUAGUCCCUGUCUCUUAUAC
rnacentral:rRNA from 1 species